CGCGGCUCACUAGGCUAAUCCUCCGCCUAGCGGCGCCGGCACACCGGGUUCUAGUCCCGGUUGGAGCGCCGGAUUCUGUCCCGGUUGCCCCUCUUCCAGGCCAGCUCUCUGCUGUGGCCAGGGAGUGCAGUGGAGGAUGGCCCAGGUGCUUGGGCCCUGCACCCCAUGGGAGACCAGGAAAAGCACCUGGCUCCUGGCUCCUGCCAUCGGAUCAGCGCGGUGCGCCAGCCGCAGCGCGCUGGCCGCGGCAGCCAUUGGAGGGUGAACCAACGGCAAA